rnacentral:rRNA from 1 species
AAAUAAUUUAAAAAGACGAGAAGACCCUAUAGAGUUUUAUAAAUAAAUUAAUUGAGAUUAUUUAUUAAAUAAAAAUUAAAAUUAAGUUAUUUAUUAUGUUGGGGUGAUAGAAAAAUGUAAUUAACUUUUUUUAUAUAUAAAACAUCUAUAAGUGACUAUAUGAUCCAAUAUUAUUGAUUAUAAGAAAAAAUUACCUUAGGGAUAACAGCGUAAUUUUUUUUUUUAGUUCAUAUAAGAAAAAGAGUUUGCGACCUCGAUGUUGGAUUAAGAUAAAAUUUAAAUG